GCGGCCGCGCUCAUAUCCGAUGACAGCCACGGCCACCAAAGGUCCAUAGCAUAUCGGAGAGGGAGAAGCAGCAGAAGGGUGGCAAGCGUGUGCUGGCAUUGGAGGCCUUCUUCUUCGACGGCAAUGGGUUUGGGUAAUUUUUUGGUUCGUACCAUCGAGCCGAUGUCCUGGACAGGAUUAUAUUUGAAGUGUUAAUUGGCAUGCCAUGCAUCAGGUUAGGCUGUUGUAUCAGAGUGAUGUGUAGCCAUUUCGUGGCAUGAAAAGUUUUGAUGUGACCCAUAUCGAAAUGUAUAGUGGCACAAUUUGGCUGCUUGUUGCAACACAGGCCUUUGUGGUGUGUUUUUAUGGAUCGUCUGUGUGAAGCAGAGCUUGUUUGUGUUGGUAGUUUGGCACUGCUUCGGUUUAGGUAGCAUUCUGUGAUGAUCCCCAAUGGAGAUGCUAGGUGUAUUGUAGCGUGUAGUAAGGAUAUUUCAUUAGGCUGGUGUGUUUAGGUUGUGCUGGCUCACUGGAUGAUUUUUUGUAUUUGCUCGUAGUAAGAGAGUGAUACUAGAAUUGCCUGUCAUGUUAGCAUGCCCGCCUCCGACUGAAUCUGGUUGUAUUUGCUCGUAGUGAUUAUUCAACUAUGUACUAGCAAAUCUGUUCCUGUUGUGUUUCUGGUUAUUAUAUGCCAAAUGAAUGCAUAUACACGUACCAUUCAAAAAGCUUAA